rnacentral:rRNA from 1 species
AUUGAACGCUGGCGGCAGGCCUAACACAUGCAAGUCGAACGAGUGGCGGACGGGUGAGUCAUGUUUGGGAAACUGCCUGAUGGAGGGGGAUAACUACUGGAAACGGUAGCUAAUACCGCAUACCAUCGGAUGUGCCCAGAUGGGAUUAGCGAGUAGGUGGGGUAACGGCUCACCUAGGCGACGAUCCCUAGCUGGUCUGAGAGGAUGACCAGCCACACUGGAACUGAGACACGGUCCAGACUCCUACGGGAGGCAGUAGUGGGGAAUAUUUCACAAUGGGCGCAAGCCUGAGGCAGCCAUGCCGCGUGUAUGAAGAAGGCCUUCGGGUUGUAAAGUACUUUCAGUGGGGAGGCGGUACCCGCAGAAGAAGCACCGGCUAACUCCGUGCCAGCCGCCGCGGUAAUUC